rnacentral:rRNA from 1 species
GACGAACGCUGGCGGCGUGCCUAAUACAUGCAAGUCGAGCGAAGUUUUUCUGGUGCUUGCACUAGAAAAACUUAGCGGCGAACGGGUGAGUAACACGUAAAGAACCUGCCUCAUAGACUGGGACAACUAUUGGAAACGAUAGCUAAUACCGGAUAACAGUAUUUCUCGCAUGAGAGAUAUUUAAAAGUUGGUUAUGCUAACACUAUGAGAUGGCUUUGCGGUGCAUUAGCUAGUUGGUGGGGUAAAGGCCCACCAAGGCGACGAUGCAUAGCCGACCUGAGAGGGUGAUCGGCCACACUGGGACUGAGACACGGCCCAGACUCCUACGGGAGGCAGCAGUAGGGAAUCUUCCGCAAUGGGCGAAAGCCUGACGGAGCAACGCCGCGUGAGUGAAGAAGGAUUUCGGUUCGUAAAGCUCUGUUGUUAGGGAAGAAUGGAUAUGUAGUAACUAUACAUGUAAGAGACGGUACCUAACCAGAAAGCCACGGCUAACUACGUGCCAGCAGCCGCGGUAAUACGUAGGUGGCAAGCGCUGUCCGGAAUUAUUGGGCGUAAAGCGCGCGCAGGUGGUUUAAUAAGUCUGAUGUGAAAGCCCACGGCUCAACCGUGGAGGGUCAUUGGAAACUGUUAAACUUGAGUGCAGGAGAGAAAAGUGGAAUUCCUAGUGUAGCGGUGAAAUGCGUAGAGAUUAGGAGGAACACCAGUGGCGAAGGCGGCUUUUUGGCCUGUAACUGACACUGAGGCGCGAAAGCGUGGGGAGCAAACAGG